UACAGAGGGUGCGAGCGUUGUCCGGAAUCACUGGGCGUAAAGGGCGCGUAGGUGGCGACCCAAGUCGAUGGUGAAAGCUCGCCGCUCAACGGCGAGUCGGCCACCGAUACUGGGUUGCUCGAGCACUGUAGAGGCUAAUGGAAUUCCGGGUGUAGCGGUGGAAUGCGUAGAGAUCCGGAAGAACACCGGUGGCGAAGGCGGUCUGCUGGGCCAAGACUGACGCUGAGGCGCGACAGCGUGGGGAGCAAACAGG
rnacentral:rRNA from 1 species